rnacentral:rRNA from 1 species
AAUAGAUACCCUGGUAGUCCACGCCGUAAACGAUGAGUGCUAAGUGUUAGGGGUUUCCGCCCCUUAGUGCUGCAGCUAACGCAUUAAGCACUCCGCCUGGGGAGUACGGUCGCAAGACUGAAACUCAAAGGAAUUGACGGGGGCCCGCACAAGCGGUGGAGCAUGUGGUUUAAUUCGAAGCAACGCGAAGAACCUUACCAGGUCUUGACAUCCCACUGACCGCUAUGGAGACAUAGUUUUCCCUUCGGGGACAGUGGUGACAGGUGGUGCAUGAUUGUCGUCAGCUCGUGUCGUGAGAUGUUGGGUUAAGUCCCGCAACGAGCGCAACCCUUGAUCUUAGUUGCCAUCAUUUAGUUGGGCACUCUAAGGUGACUGCCGGUGACAAACCGGAGGAAGGUGGGGAUGACGUCAAAUCAUCAUGCCCCUUAUGACCUGGGCUACACACGUGCUACAAUGGACGGUACAAACGGUUGCCAACCCGCGAGGGGGAGCUAAUCCGAUAAAACUGUUCUCAGUUCGGAUUGUAGG